rnacentral:rRNA from 1 species
CCUACGGGGGGCAGCAGUAGGGAAUAUUGGUCAAUGGGGGAAACUCUGAAGCAGCAACGCCGCGUGGAGGAUGAAGGUUUUCGGAUCGUAAACUCCUUUCGUUAGAGAAGAUAAUGACGGUAUCUAACGAAUAAGCACCUGCUAACUCCGUCCCAGCAGCCGCGGUAAUACGGAGGGUGAAAGCGUUACUCAGAAUCACUGGGGGUAACGAGCGCGGAGGCGGGAUAGCAAGUCAGGUGUGAAAUCCUAUGGCUGAACCAUAGAACUGCAUUUGAAACUGGUAUUCUAGAGUAUGGGAGAGGUUGGUGGAAUUCUAGGUGUAGGAGUAAAAUCCGUAGAGAUCAAGAGGAAUACUCAUUGCGAAGGCGACCAGCUAGAACAUAACUGACGCUGAUGCGCGAAAGCGUGGGUAGCAAACAGGAUUAGAUACCCUGGUAGUC